rnacentral:rRNA from 1 species
AUAUUUAAAAAUUAAGGUAGUAGUACCUUUAAACAAAACCUAUUUAUAUUGGCGACAAUUCAUCUAAUUAAAGGAACUUGUUUCGUAAUCGACAAUACUCGUUUAAUUUCACUUUUAUUAAAAAUUUAUAUACCGCCAUCUUAAGAAUUAAUUUUAAAGAAUUAUUCACACUUCUUUUUUAAAAAAAGUUAGGUCAAGGUGUAAUCUAAAUAUAAGCAAAAAUGAGUUACAUUAAAAAACAUUUAAGAAACUGAUAUUAAAAAUUUAAUAUGAAAAAGGAUUUAAAUGUAAUAUUUUAUUAAAAAUUUAAUAUGAAUUAGAUAAUAAUUAUGUACAC